GAAGGCUUCGUAGUGACCUGCGGAGGAUCAUUAAACAGUGUGGGGGACCCGCGUGUCUGGUCCCCGACCUCAAACCUCCCCGAGUACCCAUCCAUGUUGCUUUCCCAGGCCAGCAGCCAUUGCCGCCCGUCCGACCAUGCCCAGUGGUGGCGGGACGGAGGUGCCUGGGGAAGGGCCCAAACAAGAAACUCUGGUGCACACAGGCUGUCUGAGUGGGCCAUGUGCCCGGCAAAUUGAACAAGUUAAAACUUUCAACAACGGAUCUCUUGGCUCUCGCAUCGAUGAAGAACGCAGCGAAAUGCGAUAAGUAAUGUGAAUUGCAGAAUUCAGUGAAUCAUCGAAUCUUUGAACGCACAUUGCGCCCUUUGGCAUUCCUUAGGGCAUGCCUGUUCGAGCGUCACUAGCAACCUUCUCACGCAUCCCGUGGUGUUGGUGGAAGCUCCCAGUGGCCAGCAGGGCCACGUGACAGCUCCGCCGAAAUGCAUAAGCAGGACAAGUGGGCCUCAGCGAGCGACUUAGUAAGUGUCAUGAAGACGUACGGCAGUCUGCAGCUAGGCCUCGCCCUGCAAACCCAGAUCCCCCCCCGAUCUGGUGUGAUCCUCCUAGGUUGACCUCGGAUCAGGUAGGCAUACCCGCUGAACUUAAGCAUAUCAAAAACCCGGAAGGAAA
rnacentral:rRNA from 1 species